GACCUAAAUAUAUCAGUAACUUUGCUUAUUUGUAUAGGUGCUCAAGUGAGUUUGUACAUUAUUGAACUGAUUAAUUUUUAUAAUCAAAGGAUAAAUGGCCCACCAUUUCUUCUUGACAAAAAAGGAUGUGACAACCACAGAUACAACUACGUUGGCGCUUUCGGUUAGGUAAACUUCGGCCGUAGAGCUAUAAUCUCUGCAAUGUUUACCUACAGAAGUACAAGCAUAUACAAAAGGUUGUUGAAGUGUAUAUGCAUUUCUGCAAUUGCGCUUCGUAAAUGCUUCAGAAAAUUGAAAUCAUCGUAUGAAAUAAAUGCACAGUGCUGUCGUUUCUGGAGUACUUGGAGGAUAUACUAUUGUAACACGCUGUAACACUUCAGUGAAAUGACACAGAAACGACUCGACUUCAUCUGAUGUGACUGUAAUUGGGUGUUAUCCUCUUGGUUGUCAUGAAGGUGCCUGGUGACAAGUAAACAUGAUCAUCUAUGUAACAUCCACCACAGUUGACAGGGAGUGCAACUCAAAGCAUUAGAUAACCUGUAAAAGCAGUUUAUCACUAUGGAUGCAGUAACUAAACACAAAGAAACACUGCUGUGAAUAUGAGGAUGUCAGAAAUCUAUAAGUAAUUUAGUAAUGAUCCAGUGUGAUUCAGAAAGUGACAGUGAUUGAAACAUUAGUAAAAUCUUUGUGCUACAGUAAUUACACUUUGCAGUUAGAAUGUGACUGGAAUGUUCAAGUUAAAGUCAGUCUGAUGUGUCCAAUACAGAUGAUUUGCUCUCAACCAACUGACAUGCUAUACAGCUGUAAAUAUAUACAGGGUGUUUCGCUAAAUGUGUUUGUCUCUGUAAGUUACGAAGUAAUAGGCAGUGGAAAUAUUUAUUGCGGUAGGUCACCAUAAGAAAUAUUACACUGUCUGCAGAGCUGUGAACAUAGUUUAUUGUGUUAUUAUCC